rnacentral:rRNA from 1 species
ACCCGCUGAACUUAAGCAUAUCAAUAAGCGGAGGAAAAGAAACUAACAAGGAUUCCCCUAGUAACGGCGAGUGAAGCGGGAAGAGCUCAAAUUUGAAAUCUGGCGGUCUCAGGCCGUCCGAGUUGUAAUCUAGAGAGGUGUUUUCCGUGCCGGACCGUGUACAAGUCCCUUGGAACAGGGCGUCAUAGAGGGUGAGAAUCCCGUCCAUGACACGGACUACCGGUGCUCUGUGAUACACCUUCAAAGAGUCGAGUUGUUUGGGAAUGCAGCUCAAAAUGGGUGGUAAAUUCCAUCUAAAGCUAAAUACAGGCGAGAGACCGAUAGCGAACAAGUACCGUGAGGGAAAGAUGAAAAGAACUUUGGAAAGAGAGUUAAACAGUACGUGAAAUUGUUGAAAGGGAAACGCUUGAAGUCAGUCGCGUCUGCCAGGACUCAGCCUUGCUUCUGCUUGGUGCACUUCUUGGUGGAUGGGCCAGCAUCGAUUUUGAUUGCCGGAAAAGGGCGGGAGGAAUGUGGCAGCUUUUGCUGUGUUAUAGCCUUCCGUCGUACACGGUGGUUGGGAUCGAGGACUGCAGCACGCCUUUGGUCGGGGUUCGCCCACGCCACGUGCUUAGGAUGCUGGCGUAAUGGCUUUAAACGACCCGUCUUGAAACACGGACCAAGGAGUCUAACAUGCCUGCGAGUGUUUGGGUGCAAAACCCAGGCGCGUAAUGAAAGUGAAAAGUUGGGACUCUUUAGUGAGGCACCGACGCCCGACCCUGAAGUCUUCUGACGGGUUUGAGGCAGAGCAUGUAUGUUGGGACCCGAAAGAUGGUGAACUAUGCCUGAAUAGGGUGAAGCCAGAGGAAACUCUGGUGGAGGCUCGUAGCGAUUCUGACGUGC